UUGUUCGCAAUGGGCGCAAGCCUGACGACGCAACGCCGCGUGGAGGAUGAAGGUCUUCGGAUUGCAAACUCCUGUUGCCCGGGACGAAAAGCUUCGACCUAAUACGUCGAAGUCUGACGGUACCGGGUGAGGAAGCCCCGGCUAACUCUGUGCCAGCAGCCGCGGUAAUACAGAGGGGGCAAGCGUUGUUCGGAAUUACUGGGCGUAAAGGGCGCGUAGGCGGCCCACUAAGUCGACCGUGAAAUCCCCGGGCUCAACCCGGGAACUGCGUGCGAUACUGGUGGGCUUGAAUCCGGGAGAGGGAUGCGGAAUUCCAGGUGUAGCGGUGAAAUGCGUAGAUAUCUGGAGGAACACCGGUGGCGAAGGCGGCAUCCUGGACCGGUAUUGACGCUGAGGCGCGAAAGCCAGGGGAGCAAACGG
rnacentral:rRNA from 1 species